GGUGACCUCCUGGUUCAUAGGUCGACACUCAACCACUGAGCCACACCAGCUGUGUACUAAUACGGGUUCUCCAUUUUGUGAGGAACAGCAAUAUGCCUGCCUUAAAGAGGACAGCUGGCCACAUGGCUAAAUCAGGCCAAUGAGAUAUGAGUGGAAUAUUCUAGGAAAGCUCUCUGAAGAGGCUUCCUCUUUUCUGCUUUCUGGAAUGUGGACAUAAUGGCUGGAAUUCAAGCAUACAUGUUUGAGUACCAGGUGACCUUGAAGAUGGAAGCCAUGAACUAAGACAAUGUCACUGUACUCUCUUUUACCUGAGAGAAAUAAACUAUUGUAUAAGCUA